GAUGAACGCUGGCGGUGUGCUUAACACAUGCAAGUCGAACGAUGAACCGGGUGCUUGCACUCGGGGAUUAGUGGCGAACGGGUGAGUAACACGUGAGCAACCUGCCCCUGACUCUGGGAUAAGCGCUGGAAACGGCGUCUAAUACUGGAUAUGUCCCGUCACCGCAUGGUGUGCGGGUGGAAAGAUUUUUCGGUUGGGGAUGGGCUCGCGGCCUAUCAGCUUGUUGGUGAGGUAAUGGCUCACCAAGGCGUCGACGGGUAGCCGGCCUGAGAGGGUGACCGGCCACACUGGGACUGAGACACGGCCCAGACUCCUACGGGAGGCAGCAGUGGGGAAUAUUGCACAAUGGGCGGAAGCCUGAUGCAGCAACGCCGCGUGAGGGAUGACGGCCUUCGGGUUGUAAACCUCUUUUAGCAGGGAGGAAGCGAGAGUGACGGUACCUGCAGAAAAAGCACCGGCUAACUACGUGCCAGCCGCCGCCGUAA
rnacentral:rRNA from 1 species